rnacentral:lncRNA from 1 species
UGAUUUAUCCUGAUGGUCACUGUAGUGUCAUUUAUCUGCGCAGCUGGGACCCCUGGAGAAGACAUAAUGAUCACUGCAUUCACAGUGCUGUUCUACCUUGGUGAGAUUUGGAGGGUGGAGGGAACACUGAAAUCUAGGAGAGACCCUUGGCCUUAAUUAAACUCUAGAUCACCAAUGGAUCUUAUGCUAUUGGGUGGCCUUGUAGAAGAGAUGACCUACUGAAGUUUCAUGAAGAAAAAUCUCAUGAGAGAUCUCUUUCAGGACUGAUUCUAGAUCCCAGGACCACAGUUGUGGCAGGUGAGUCAGUUCCCUUGUCUUACCAGAUCCUGUUUUCACACUGAGAUCAGAAGACCAUUCCUGAGCACUGGAGUUGGAAAACAACAUAUGGGGGUUGAUGCUGGGAAUACUUUAAGGGUCCUGGGGCUUUGGAGUGGGGUAUAAGAGAGGGAUACUCUGAAGCAGAGUUUUUUUUAUUUCUUUGUAGGAACACUUCCCAUACCCACCCUUUGGGCUGAGCCAGGCUCUGUGGUCACCAAGGGACAGUCUGUUACUCUCUGGUGCACUGGUACCCAGGAUGCCCAAGAGUACAGUCUGUAUAAAAAGGAAAAUUCAAAAGCCUGGAAGUCACAAACCUUACUUGAACCUGGGAACAAGGCGAACUUCUCCAUUUCAUUCAUGACAGAGUACCAUGCAGGAUUAUAUUACUGCUACUAUUACAGUCCUGCUGGCU